AAUGGAGGCAACUCUGAUCCAGCAAUGCCGCGUGUGUGAUGAAGGCCCUAGGGUUGUAAAGCACUUUCAACGGUGAAGAUGAUGACGGUAGCCGUAGAAGAAGCCCCGGCUAACUUCGUGCCAGCAGCCGCGGUAAUACGAAGGGGGCGAGCGUUAUUCGGAAUUAUUGGGCGUAAAGGGCUCGCAGGCUGCUUGAACAGUUAGACGUGAAAUCCCCGGGCUCAACCUGGGAACUGCGUUUAAUACUAGCAAGCUAGAGAAAUAGAGAGGAAAGUGGAACUCCCAGUGUAGAGGUGAAAUUCGUAGAUAUUGGGAAGAACACCAGUGGCGAAAGCGACUUUCUGGCUAUUUUCUGACGCUGAGGAGCGAAAGCGUGGGGAGCAAACAGGAUU
rnacentral:rRNA from 1 species